AAAAGGAUCAGGCAGCCAGGGCGAGGCUUUGCCAUUGCACAUCGGCUUAGCUGACCCUUGCGAUUACCCAAAAUGUGGGUAACUCGGUCGUAUAAUUUCUGGUAGUGGGGACUGCGUUCGCGCUAUCCCCGU
ensembl:snRNA U1 U1 spliceosomal RNA